rnacentral:rRNA from 1 species
AGAGUUUGAUCCUGGCUCAGAACGAACGCUGGCGGCGUGCCUAAUACAUGCAAGUCGAACGAGAAAGCCCGGCUUCGGUUGGGCGAGUAAAGUGGCGAACGGGUGAGUAACACGUGGAUAAUCUACCCUUAAAUCUGGGAUAAUUCUCCGAAAGGAGUUCUAAUACCGGAUGACACCAUAGAAGGGCAUCUUUUUAUGGUCAAAGGCGGGGCAACCUGCUGUUUAGGGAUGAGUCCGCGCUCCAUUAGCUUGUUGGCGGGGUAACGGCCCACCAAGGCUCCGAUGGAUAGCCGGCCUGAGAGGGCGAACGGCCACACUGGGACUGAGAUACGGCCCAGACUCCUACGGGAGGCAGCAGUAGGGAAUAUUGCGCAAUGGACGAAAGUCUGACGCAGCAACGCCGCGUGGGUGAUGAAGCUUUUUGGAGUGUAAAACCCUGUCAGUGGGGAAGAAAAGUACGGGUAGUAACUGCCCCGUGCCUGACGGUACCCGCAGAGGAAGUCCCGGCUAACUCCGUGCCAGCAGCCGUGGUAAUACGGGGGGGACAAGCGUUGUUCGGAUUUACUGGGCGUAAAGGGCGCGUAGGCGGACCUUCAAGUCGGGUGUGAAAACUGGCGGCUCAACCACCAGCCUGCACUCGAUACUGUUGGUCUUGAGUACAUGAGAGGAAAGCGGAAUUCCAGGUGUAGCGGUGAAAUGCGUAGAUAUCUGGAAGAACACCAGUAGCGAAGGCGGCUUUCUGGCGUGAUACUGACGCUGAAGCGCGAAGGCUAGGGGAGCAAACAGGAUUAGAUACCCUGGUAGUCC